AAGGGACGGCAAAUCCUGCUGUUUCACACAAAAACAAAGAAAACCCCCGAGUUUCUGUCUUGGUUCGGUACAGCCCGGCUGUGGCACGCACGGACGGCAGGUGGCGCGACGACACCUUUUCCUUCUUCCUUCUCGCUUUCCUCCACGAAUCCGAUUCAAUCUCCUCUCUGUCCCCUCGUAGAUCCGAUCACCAGCGAGGUUCAGAUUUGAGGGAGGGGAAGGAUGGGGGCUUGGAUGUCCCGGGUCUGGUUUCUCAUGUUCCCGGCCAAGGAGUACAAGAUCGUGGUCGUGGGGCUCGACAACGCCGGAAAGACCACCUCGCUCUACAAGCUCCACCUCGGCGAGGCGGUCACCGCCGCGCCCACCAUCGGCAGCAACGUCGAGGAGGUCGUGUUCAAGAAUAUACGCUUCGAGGUGUGGGAUCUAGGAGGACAAGAAAGCCUACGCACUUCAUGGGCGACAUACUAUAGUGGAACUCAUGCUGUCAUCGUGGUAAUCGACAGCACCGACCGUGCUCGGAUCAACAUCAUCAAGGAUGAGCUAUUCCGGUUGAUUCAACAUGCAGAUCUUGAAAACACGGUGGUCCUUGUGUUUGCGAACAAGCAGGAUCUCAAGGAUGCCAUGUCGGCGGCUGAGAUUACAGACGCCCUGUCCCUCCACAGCAUAAAGAACCACGACUGGCACAUACAGGCCUCGUGUGCGAUCACUGGUGAGGGCCUCUAUGAUGGGAUGGGAUGGAUAGCCCAGAAAGUUGCCGGAAAGGCCACGGCAAGCUGACCACAAAAACAUUGUGUGUUUCGGUGAAUUUGUUGGAAAAUGGAGGCAGGAUGGGUUUGUUGUUCCUGCCAUUUCGGUGUUUAUUUAUGCAUACUCCCUCCGUUCCUUUAUGUAUGUAAGGUGUACUACCUUCGUUUCAGUUUACAAGUCCUACGCGUAUAUCUAGCGUAUAUCUAGGUUGCCAAUUUGAUCACCUUAAUAUAAAUUAUAUAACACCAAAAUUAUAUCGUUUGAAAAUUGAACAUCUGAAAUUUAUAUUGGUAUAUUUUUUGUAAUAUCUGACUUGUAUUAGGUGGUCAAAUUGAUGACCUAGGGAUACGUGCACGCCGUGUAAACUGAAAGAGAGGGAGUAUUAUUUUCGGCACGGUGAUCAAGG
rnacentral:rRNA from 1 species